CCCCUCAAGCUGGCUCAUGAGGCAGCUCAACAGCAGACCAGACUCAGCCCCGGCUCAAUUGAGCAGCUCGAAUCUGGUCUGGAUUCAAGCCAAACUGGGCAAACCAGUUCCAUGCACAUGCAUAACACUCAGCAGUAUUCUCACAGAACUCUUCUCCCACAUGCAGCCCUCCUCCUGGUUGUCCAACCCUCCCUUUUAUCCAGUUCCAAAGGGAUAUAUUUAACCAAUCAGAGAGUUUCUUCCUUCAGGCAGCCAGAACCUUCUGUUUCUGCCUGGAGACAACCAAUCACAACACAUUCUAACUUUCCCUCCAAAACUCUGCAGCAGACAACUUUUACCUCAAACUUGGCUGUAAGAGAUUGCUACCUUUUAACCCCUGCAGAGCCUGGAGGGGACACAGAACAAAGUAACCAAACUAUAAAACAUAAUGGGAAGGAGUCAUUCCCAGUUGGCAACUACUUUUUUUUGUGCUGAAGAAAAUCUUUACACUUAGCAUUUAAAAAAAGCAUUUCUAAUUAUCUUCUGUUAGCAUCACUAUUAACCUCCAUCAUAAUGAAGGCUGUGUUAAGAAAAAGAGUGUAGCCUUCUUUUUCCUUUUGUCAUGUCUGUCAGUCACAACAUUUUGGACAUUUGUAUAUUCCACGAAGAGCUUCAGUUAUCUCAAGACAGGACAGAUGCUACCAGUCCAGGCAUAUACCUUGGCAAAGGUCCAUUGUGUCCUCCUUCCAUUAAGCACAAGGACCAAGAAGACCUGUAAUACUCUUCUACUGCUGAAGACAGGAAUUUGAUAAUAGAUGAUGACCCUUGAGGUGCAUUUCUGGAAACGGCUGUCUUGAAAUGAGUUCUGACUUUCUCCCUUAUUUCCUUCAUUGUUUUCUGUGGCUUUCCCUGUGAAAUACUUGGCUGUGGAGGAAAUGAUUUGUGUCAGAGCACCUCAGUAGCAAUCCAUUGUCGUAGAGGAGUCAUGUCUGCUGGGAAUGGUACUGCUGACCCACUGCAUAACACAUGUGCAAAUAAACGUACCAAAAAUCCACAGUUGAAUGAGUUAUUCUGUACUGGUAUAUCAAGUGGUGCAUGAAUUAUCCACUCUGAGCAAUUAAUUGCUGAAGAUGCCUGUAUCUCUAUAAAUGUUUGCAGCAUGUCAGUAUAAUUGUUGGAGAAGCCUUGUUGUGAAUCCAGGUACAGAAUAAUUUUCCACUUAAAAAACACAAACAACAGUAUUCAGUGAGAGCUAUGUACAUCGGUGGAAAGUAACCAGAUGUCCUUCACAUGUGUAAGACAUCAGUUGUGGUACAAGCACACAACAGGAGUGUUUGAUGCAGCCAGGAUGGUGACUUCAUCUUUUUGUCUUGGUUUCUUUCUUCCUGAUUUUUCUUUUCAUCUGUUGAUCCGGAGUUUUUUCAAAGAGUAUAUCACCUUUGUCCGAUGCAAGCUUUUUCCAACAGACAUCUGUACUGCCAUUAUAUGGUAACAUAUCUGGGUCUGUUUUCAGAGCAUGUUUCUGCUGGGGAUAAUUUUACCACAUAUUCCUUUUCACGCAACCCUCUGAUAAUGAAACAGCAGGAUUGUGCUUGUAGAAAUAUACAAUUUUGCUUUACUAUUAAAUCGGCCAAGAUCUUCCAUUGUCUUUGACUUGUGAGCUCCUCUUUGCAAGUCAGAUGUAUGUUCUGUCUUUAUCUUUCCCUGCUUUAUUAAAUGUACAGUGUCAUCUAAAGGAACACAAGUCCACUGGAAAUGUUGUACUAUAAAUACUCAACUUCUUGGUCUUGUGAUCUGCUAAAAGGUGAUAGUUCCCAAAUCCACACAAUCCUCUAAUAAUUUCAUUCAGGUAGAAUGUCUGAAGAAUGUAAAUAGCCAGGACCAGGCGCGUGGGAACAAUUGAGCAGGGGGGACGAGCAUCCUUGGGCCACCUAUCCCUGAGGAUUCGAUUCAGAUUGAAUUGGGGAUGAUUCCCUUCAACCCCAAUUCGGGCCCUUUAUUUUGAGGGCAAUUUGAUUUGGUGUUGAAUUUGUGGAUUACCCUCAAUUUGACUUGAAUUGAUUUGACAGUGAAUUGAAUGGAAUACCCCUAGUCUGCAGUCCAUUCCACUAUUUUGGGGGUGCUGCUUGUCAGUUGGGGGGCCAUUCCAGGCUAUUCUAGGCAGUUGCACCAUUCCGAUACAUUUUUGGAGUGGAAGGAAUUAAGAAAAGUGUAAUAAUGGAAAUAUUUCAGUGCUAAAAUAUUGUUCUCUAUUGUCUCUAACACAUCCCUCUGGUUUUUUGGAUCUAGUUUAAUUUUUAAGGGGUCUUCCCAGCCCUACAGCAAGUUACAGCUUUCACCCAGACUCGAACUUCCCCACUGUUUAUUCCCACCCCCAUUAUUUCUCAGAUGAAGGUUCUGAUUCUCUAUCAGCAGAUUAAAAAGAUGAGCUACUGCAUAUUAGAGAAAUCUGUGGAACACAAGUUAUUCAGAGUACACAGGGAGGCAAUGCAUGAAAGACAUAAAGCAAUAACUUAUCAUAAACAGCAAAAACAAAAUUCAGCCUCAACUAAUGCAAAUCAAACAUAUAUUCAAAUUGCAAUGAAACAAACAUUUUAGGAUAAAUAAGCUGCAGAAACAGAUUACAAGCCAGAGAGGUAAAGAUUUUAAAAUAAAAUAUAUACAAAAAAUUUCAAGGCACAUUAUCUUGGAAAAGUCUUCCAAAAUAAAUAGGUGUUAAAACAAGGUGUAAAAGACAGAGGGGAAAUGAUGUGUUGUAAUCAUUCUAGGCAUCUGGAAGAAUAUUCUAAUAAUGGCUAAAGGCGACAAAAACACUGAGAGAUAACCCAAUGCAACAGAAUUUGGAAAGUUUAAACACUGAUCCCUACCCGAUCUGCUGUCACCAUUUCUUUUUACAUGAUUUUCAGAAAGAAGAUGAAAUGUUACAAAAAGAGACAUACUGCGACAGAGCCUGGAUUUCUUCUGCUUCCUCCAGAGCUGCAAGGAGGAUCAAACAGACUUAUCUCAUGUUAUCACUUUCCUCAGAUUGCAGGGGUUGAUGGACCUUAGUCCUAUCUGUCACUUAUUUCUAUGGUUACCUGAAGAUAUCUGAUCUUUAAGAAAGCCUCCGUUAUAGAGAAGGAGACUUGUGAGUCCUUUUUUAUUUCUGACCCUCCUGUUUUGCUGUGCUCCUUCUCUUCCUGUUCAGAUCCACAGAAGGGCAAGAGGUGAGCAAGAACGCUGAAAUCAACCUCCCAGCCCAUCGUUAAGGGAAGUAGCAGUAAACUAUUAAGAUUUGAAGAUCAGUUGCCAAAAUCUCCCAGUUAUCCAAAUUGACUGUGACAUUUCUCCAUCAAUCUGUUGCUCUGUGACAAUAUAAUAAUACCUUUAUUAGGACAUACCAAUGUUCACAGUGUGCUUUAUGAGCAUUGUUACUGUCUGGCGUGGCCGGCUGUCCUUGCCUCCGAAGAUGGAGUGGUGAGAGGGCCCAAGGAGACAGGGACGGGUGGCAGCCAGGGAGAGGCGGAGGAAAGACUACCAUCGGGCAGGGACUCAGCUCCAGUGGAGGAGGAGCAGAGCCCUGAUAAGACCGAAGGGGAGGCGUUGCGUGUGCAAGGAUAAUAUUAGCAGCAUGCCUCCCGAAGGGAGGCGGUCUGAGCAGGAGAAGGUGGAGAGGCAUUGGCAAGAGCUGUAAGGGGUAAUCAAUUACAGGUAAUAAAGAGGGGUGUUGGCCCCAUAAUUGAGGGUGGGCGAUGCAUAGCCUGUGAGGAGGCAUAUAAGGGGCUGGCCAGGGAUGAGAGGCUGGCUGGUGGAGAGUGUCAGCGCUCCUGUAGAGGGGCAGAAACAAGGUGCAAGCAGCCUGGGAUGGAGGAGGCACAGGGUGAUGCACAACCCCCUCCUUGUCCCUGCUCUGAGGCUGGACCCAAUAAGCCUAACCAGGCUGGCUAAAGGAGACAGGAACAUGUAGCCGGACAGUUACACAGGUUGGAUGUUAGAAAGUUAAAAAGUAGGAAGUGUAAAAAAAAGAAAGUGUUAAGUCUUGUCUGAAGUAGGCUUCAGAAUUCUGAUAGAGGAAGCCCUUGCAGACUAAUUAGGUUACACCUGUGCCCUACACAUGUUGCAGAUACUGGCCAGAGAAUAACCUGGUUAGCUGUCUGCAUAGCAAACAGAUUUUAAAAAUUAGUUUUCUUCCAACAGAAUCCAUUCCUUCUCUGCACCACACCUAUUUGGGAAGCCACUUUUGCAAUUAGCUGAAUCCCUCUUUAAGAAGGCACAGUUCCAGCCUCUGCGCAUCCAUGGAGGCCGGAACUGUGCCGCUGCCACAUGUACAGCCUGCUUAAAGAGGGAUAGGAACAUAGGAAGCUGCCAUAUACUGAAUCAGACCAUAGGUCCAUCUUGCUCAGUAUUGUCUACACAGACUGGCAGCAGCGUCUCCAAGGCUGCAGGCAGGAAUCUCUCUCAGCCCUAUCUUGGAGAGGCCAGGGAGGGAACUUGGAGCCUAGAUGCUCAUCCCAGAGCGACUCCAUCCCCUAAGGCAAGUAUCUUACAAUGCUCACACUUCUAGUCUUCCUUUCGUAUGCAACCAGGGCAGAUCCUGCUUAGCUUAAGGGGACAAGUCAUGCUUGCUACCACAAGACCAGCUCUCUUAGCCAGCACAUGGGCUGUACUGGGGGGUGGCAAGCAGCAGCACCGGCAGUCACACUGGACUGGUAAUUACCAUAGACUACCUUUAUAAUCUCUCCCCCACCAUUGCCCUUCGAUUUUGAACUGGUAAACUUGUACCGGGCUUCAUUUGGUUCAUUCACUGACUAAAACAGCUCCAGUUUGGUUCACGAUUGAGCCGUCGAAACGGUUUGCCAUUUAAUUGUUCGUGCACACCCCAACACACAUGGAUGGACACACGCACCGCAAGGUGAUCUCUCAAGGGUACUAAUCCCUGCUAACUGAGCAAAGAGAUGCUUUUUAAAGUGGUGAUUCUCUUUUAUUUAGCAGGGGGAGAGCAACUGACCCUAUCCAACCCCAGCACAGCAUCCCUCCAUCCAGUGGCUGUUGCUGGUGUCUGCCUUAUGCUUCCUUUUUAUUUUGUGAGCCCUUUGGGGACAGGGGACCAUCUUAUUUAUGUAUUAUUUAUUUUUCUAUGUAAACUGCCUUGUUAACUUUGGUUGAAGAGAAGUAUAUAAAUAUUCAUAGUAGUAGUA